CCCUUAGUCGGCAGGGUGGGCGUGGCCUUCUCCCUGCCUGCAUCUGAAAUGCAGUUUAAAGGUCAGGAAGACUGAUCUUUCGCUUCUGAAUCCUCUGAGAGUUCCUCAGGCCCUCCUGUCUGAGGCCCAGCUGCUUCCUGCCUGGUCUUCCUGGAUCCACAGAGCUGCAGCUGCAGUUCCUCUUCCCCUGACGUCUGAGGCCGGGCCUGCUCCAGGUCGGAGGUAUAGCGGGGUGACGAAGAGGAGGCUGCAAUGACCAUCAUGUCUCUGUGACCACACGAUUACCCAUCGGCUCCCACACCCCUCUGCCUGCCAGGAAGCUGAGGCUCAAAGAAGAGAACUGAGAGGAGGGGAACAACGGCCGUUGAGGCCCCCGUGGGCCAAGCAGUGUGCCAGGCACUCUAUCAAACAAUGGAGGUAGGUGAGCUUAUCCCCACUGUACAGAUGAGGAAACUGAGGUUCAGAGAACUGGUUGCCCAGGUCACACAGCUUGGAGGAAGCAGAAUAUAGAAUGCUAUCUGACUCCAAACCCAUGCUUCCACUAUCGCGCCAUCCUAUCAGGCAGCUAACGAAUGAUAAUGAAUCUAUAACAACAUUAUUAUCUGAGCUAA
rnacentral:antisense_RNA from 1 species